rnacentral:rRNA from 1 species
UACGGAGGGUGCAAGCGUUAUCCGGAUUCACUGGGUUUAAAGGGUGCGUAGGUGGGUUGGUAAGUCAGUGGUGAAAUCUCCGUGCUUAACAUGGAACUGCCAUUGAUACUACUGAUCUUGAAUUUUCAGGAGGUAAGCGGAAUAUGUCAUGUAGCGGUGAAAUGCUUAGAUAUGAACAUAGAACACCAAUUGCGAAGGCAGCUUACUACAGGAAUAUUGACACUGAUGCACGAAAGCGUGGGGAUCAAACAGG